AUGGACGGACAACAAGCUGCUGUAGGCCAUGACGUGAUAUCGCAGGUCUCAUCCGUCACGUCGGGCGUCUGCUCUAAUGGACGCCGCAGAGACAGGCGCCGACCACGCACCUUGGGGACGCGUAGCUGCAGUGAUGGGCCCACGCCGAUCAGGCUCAGCCAUCACAUCUUCUCCAAGGGCGAAUGGCGGCGUGCAAAGCUCAGGGACCACCCCCGAGUGUCCAUCUCCAUCCAGAUUGAUGAUAAGGUGAGGUUCACUAGUAGAGCCGGUGCCAGAUGCCCGGCUGCAGAGGCCACCGUGUCCGCCAUUGCAGACAAGGGGGCUCAGUCGGACUUGUGGUCCCUGGAGGAGUUUCUGGCGUGCGGUUUCGCGCGCAGCAACCUCCACCCAUUGGUCCUAAACCUCUCAGCGGCGAACAGCUCCCCCAUUGACAUUGAGGGCGCCUUCUUUGCCAAACUAUCCACUACUGCCCCUGGUGGUGAGGUGGUGUCCUGCCACGCAAUGAUAUAUGUUAGCAGGUCAGUUCACGCGAUGUACCUCUCGUAUGACUCUCUGCUCAGCCUCGGCCUUCUGCCUAGUGGGUUCCCAUCCUGCACGGGUGGGGGCAACUCGGCAGUGGGCCGUGACCUUGAAGCCGCCAGCCGUUGCGGUGGGCACACCAAAGUCUCAUGCCUGGGAGAAGUCUGCGACGGAGGCAUGGCUUCCCAUUAUGUGGCUUGUUGCUCAUGUCCUCAACGCAGCGCCCCGCCUCCGCGCCCCGCGGAGCUGCCAUUCCCAUGCUCCCCAGAGAAUAAUCACCGUAUGAAGGCAUGGCUGCUUGACAGGUACGCAUCUUCAACAUUCAACACUUGCCCCCAUCGGCCACUACCAUGGAUGGAAGGUCCACCCAUAGAAAUACACGUUGACCCGGCGGCAACGCCAAAGACGUGCCACACGGCAGCAGCCUUGCCUUUGUAUUGGCAACAGAGGGUGCAUGAUGACCUACUUCAGGACGAGUCCCUGGGCGUCAUUGAACGUGUCCCGUAUGGCGAACCAGUGACCUGGUGCCACCAGAUGGUGGUCACCCGGAAGCACGACGGAACCCCCCGCAGGACCGUCGAUAUCUCACCUCUUAACAAAUUCUGCAAACGUGAGACUUUCGCAACCGAGUCCCCAUUCCACCUGGCACGCCGGAUUCCAAAAGGGAUCUGGAAGACUGUCACCGACGCCUGGAAUGGGUAUCACAGCGUGCCCCUGCGCGAGUCAGACCGUCAUCUCACUACCUUCAUCACUCCCUUUGGCCGCUGGCGUUACACCAGGGCACCACAGGGCUUUCUGUCGUCUGGCGAUGGCUACAAUCGCCGCUUUGAUGCGAUCCUCUCUGACACAGUGGACUUCCUCCGCUUAUGGCAGGUCAAGCACCGCGUGUCCUCGGUUGGGUUCCCCCAGUCUAAUGGAAGGGCGGAGGUGGCUGUUAAGACGGCGAAGCGCCUAAUAGUCUCAAACACCGGCCCAACCGGGAGCCUUGACCAUGACCGCUUUCUGCGUGCGAUGUUGCAACUGCGUAAUACGCCUGACCCCGACUGUGACCUGUCACCCACGCAAAUCAUCUUUGGUCGCCCCCUUAGGGACUCACUGUCAUUUGUUAAUAGGCUGGAGAAGUUCUCUAACCCUCACAUCCGCCCGCUCUGGCGUCAGGCAUGGGCGGCGAAGGAAGAGGCCCUCCGGACUCGGAUGGCCCGUACCACUGAGUCUCUGAGAGAACACGUACGACCGCUCCGCCCUCUCGUAGUCGGGGAGGCGGUGUUCCUCCAGAACCUAGUUGGCUGUAGCCCGCGGGCAUGGGACAGAUCUGGGGUGGUAGUGGAGUCACUAGGACAUGACCAGUACCGUGUCAGGGUCGAUGGGUCUGGCCGCCUCACCCUGCGCAACCGGCGCUUUCUCCGCUCCUUCACCCCGGCGACCCCUCGCAGUCAUCCGGAGAGUGCUGCGCCGCUGCCUGCGUCCAACGACGAGACACGCGACUUAGGUCCCACCAGCCCGGGGUCAGCGGGACCCCUGCCAGAUCAGUCGCACACACCACCCGAGCCCCGAGGCACAAACCCCAGCACUGCCGAGUCGGUGCCGAAUCCUCCAGACGAAGCCAACGGGAACGCUGCCCCAGCGGCGCAGACCCCGGAACAGUGCCCAUCACCCCCCUCCUCCCAGCCAGCGGGUUCCGGUAGAGUAAGGCGGCCACCCAAUCGGUAUGAACCUGAAACUGGCCAGUGGGUUAGGUCAUGA
ensembl:lncRNA